rnacentral:rRNA from 1 species
GACGAACGCUGGCGGCGUGCUUAACACAUGCAAGUCGAACGGAAAGGCCCUGCUUUUGUGGGGUGCUCGAGUGGCGAACGGGUGAGUAACACGUGAGUAACCUGCCCUUGACUUUGGGAUAACUUCAGGAAACUGGGGCUAAUACCGGAUAGGAGCUCCUGCUGCAUGGUGGGGGUUGGAAAGUUUCGGCGGUUGGGGAUGGACUCGCGGCUUAUCAGCUUGUUGGUGGGGUAGUGGCUUACCAAGGCUUUGACGGGUAGCCGGCCUGAGAGGGUGACCGGCCACAUUGGGACUGAGAGACGGACCAGACUCCUACGGGAGGCAGCAGUGGCGAAUAUUGCCCAAUGGGCGGAAGCCUGAUGCAGCAACGCCGCGUGCGGGAUGACGGCCUUCGGGUUGUAAACCGCUUUCGCCUGUGACGAAGCGUGAGUGACGGUAAUGGAUAAAGAAGCACCGGCUAACUACGUG